CGAUGACGUCACACAGACAGCUGUGAGGUAUAAACACCAGACUGCAGGCAGGAACACUAAGAAGCCAGGCUCUGGUGCAAGACAGCACAGCGGUGCGAAGCUGAGAGCGGAGAGAGAGGAUGUGCAGUAUGCCAGUCUGGAGUUCGACCGGCAAGGACGACGGUGAUGAUGUCACCCCCACGUGGAAUGAGAUACACCUGUCUCGUGGGACAAUCAACUGUGUUCCUCCACACCUGGGGCUUUCUGGGAGCUGAUAUAUAGUAAUACGCUAUAGAUUCAAUAAACUGGUUCCCUUUUCUUCUGUUGAAACCUGGUUCUUGGCUUGUAUGUUAUAUAAUACAUUUUGUCCAGGUAUUCAUGCUUAUAAUGAGGAUCACAGAGCUACUCCAUACGAGCUGACCUGUAUAGCGGAACUCAGAGUAAAGAAAUGAAGCUACUUCCUGUUUAAACUCUAUCUGGACAGGUAGCAUUCUGAAGAAAUAAAGACUCAGUUAUAAACUUAAAAAAUAGUGUUUCUCAUUUUAAAAUGUAAAUAAAAAAACCCUGUCCUGUCCUUAAUUAGCUUCAGUCAAGCUUUCCCCUGCACCUCUGGCCAUGGAGGACAGCAUAUGGUACUUCACAGGCUUUUGAUAAAAACAUAUGAGAAGUGAAAAGUUCAACUACACAAUGAUAAGGGGGGCAGUGAUAACACUGAAGCUAAUAUAAGGAAAGCGAUUUUAAAACUACACUCGCCUUCAUUUCCAGUCAACACUGGAGCAUGCAUUCUAAACAUUCUGCUUGGAAUUGUAAUGGGGAAACCCGUUCUCAACAACGAGGGCCCAUGUUUGCCAAGGAUGCCAGACAGUUCUCUGGUCUGCAAUCAUUGUUCUAAAACCAGAAAGAUUGGAUUAUUUGUUAUAAAUUAGUCAAAAACAAUAACGCACUGUUGUGAUGUAGGACCUGUAAUCAUAAAGAAUAACACACUGUGUUGUGAUAUAGGACCUGUAUCAAGGCUCCUGCGAACACAGCCCCCAGAUGAAAAAUCUAAGUUACAUUCUUUUGUGAAAAUGAUUCAUCUCCACGAUCUAUGCUGCAGUGCGCCCGGAGCCUGCCUAGAAAUCCAGCCCUGCGAUUAGUCAUGCUGUGCUGAGCGCGGAGAAGGCGCUGUGAGAGUUUACCAGAGUUUACCAGUUAAAAUCAAUCUUAUGUACUGGAAUAUUGGUAUUAGAAAUUGCGUUUUGCAGCAUACCAUGAAGUCAUUGCUCAAAGCUAGUUGUAGUCUAGGCUAUGUAUUACUUUAGUUCAUCCAGUGACAGUGUGGAUAUUGGAAGGCAGUAAUGUAACAUCCUGUAAGCUUGCUUAAAACUGCAAUCACUGUCUGCACAAUCAACUGCUUACAUGGUGAGG